rnacentral:rRNA from 1 species
AAUUUAGUAAGAUCCCUCAAAGAUGAUGAGGUAGAUAGGUCUGAGGUGUAAGUAUGGCGACAUACGCAGCUGACAGAUACUAAUCGAUCGAGGACUUAACCUAUU